rnacentral:tRNA from 2 species
GGUAGGAUGGCCGAGGGUUCAGGCGGUGGGUUGUAGCCCCAUAAACAAAGGUUUAAGUCCUUUUUCUACCA